rnacentral:lncRNA from 1 species
CAUAGAAAGCUUAAUUUUGAACUCGGAUCUAAAGUCGUGCUCUUUAUGGUAUGAUUUCAUAUAUAUUUUUCGAGGGUUCCUUUCCUCUGUACACAUGACGGGAACAAGGAAACUAACAUUAUAUCAUCAAUGGCAGUGACUUUGAGCUUGGAGGAGGAAACCUCCAUCUCUCUCACCAGUGAUUUGAGUUUGAAGGACCUCUCUCACAUCAGCGUUUAGAGUUUGAAGAAGGUUCUCUAAUUCUCUCAUCACUGCUCUGAGUUUGAAGAAGGACCUCCCUCUCUUGUAUGCAUUGUAGUUGCAGAGGGAGAAGAAGAAGAGCGAUGAGAUAACAACAGUGGAGAGAAGGAAGAAGAAGAAGAGCGAUGAGAUAACAACAGGAGAGAGAGAGAGAGAGAGAGAGAGAGAGAGAGAGAGAGAGAGAGAGAGAGAGAGAGAGAGAGAGAGAGAGAGAGAGAA